GUGGGAAUUAUAAAUUAAGAUCCAAAUUGUAAUAAAUGAAAUUGUAAAUAACACCAUAUACUAACAAUGGAAAAGACGACCAAAGUCAACGAGCUUAGGGCGGUUCCAGGCAAACUAAACUUGGUGUGCUCGACUCGAAACUUUGUUUGCUCAGAAGAUGUCAAUACAGAUCUCACCGGGAAGAGCGUUGUCGUUAUAAAGCCAGCAAUGAGGACCCGUAAGUUUUUACAACAGAAACAAAGCACUUUGUGCGACCAAGAAAUCCAUUCUUGGUCAUCUACCACUUCGAUGGAGCAGCAAUAGCACUACCUGUUGCAUCUGAAGAAAUUUUGCUGUACAUUACAUGAGGGUAUUGAGGGUGCCAAGAAGAAAAUAACUUUUCGAAAAACAAAUACAUAUUAGCAGUACAUAUCUUCUAAAAA